rnacentral:rRNA from 1 species
AGUGAACGCUGGCGGUAGGCCUAACACAUGCAAGUCGAACGGCAGCACAGUAAGAGCUUGCUCUUACGGGUGGCGAGUGGCGGACGGGUGAGGAAUAAAUCGGAAUCUACUUUUUCGUGGGGGAUAACGUAGGGAAACUUACGCUAAUACCGCAUACGACCUACGGGUGAAAGCAGGGGAUCUUCGGACCUUGCGCGAUUGAAUGAGCCGAUGUCGGAUUAGCUAGUUGGCGGGGUAAAGGCCCACCAAGGCGACGAUCCGUAGCUGGUCUGAGAGGAUGAUCAGCCACACUGGAACUGAGACACGGUCCAGACUCCUACGGGAGGCAGCAGUGGGGAAUAUUGGACAAUGGGCGAAAGCCUGAUCCAGCCAUACCGCGUGAGUGAAGAAGGCCUUCGGGUUGUAAAGCCCUUUUGUUGGGAAAGAAAAGCAGCAGGUGAAUACCCCGCUGUUCUGACGGUACCCAAAGAAUAAGCACCGGCUAACUUCGUG